GACGAAAAAGAAAAGAAACAAAAAAUUGUAGAAACUAAACAGAACCAAGAAAUCAAAACAAAAACAGAAAAAAGAACCAAGAUUGAUAUUGGGUAAUCUCUCUGCAAAAAAAAGGUGAACAGAAAUCAGCGAUGACGGAAGAUAGUGGCGCUAGGGUUUCCUCGGAUGUGCCCAAUGAUGCCUCACAAACAAGGCAAAGGAAGAAAAGAAAGUGGGAUCAACCUGCAGCAUCCUUGGUUUCAGCUGGUUUAGCAGUGCCUGGGGCUUUCCAAUUGGGAAAUGCGGGAUUGCUUGGUGGGAUUACAGUUCCUGGCACACCAGUGACUGGUGCUCAUCUGAUAAAUCCACUUGAGGCUAGUUGUCCUACCAUCCCUCAGGUGUAUCAGAUACCUCUGAUACCGCAACAGACUGCCACGGUCAUCCAAAAAUUAAUUCAACCAAAGAUCCAAGAUGAGUUAAUAGCACGAGAAAUUGUUAUCAACGAUGCAGAGUCUCUUGUUCGUUAUAAGCUGACAAAACGCCAAACACAGGAGGAGAUCCAAAGAUGCACUGGUGCUGUGGUGAUAACAAGGGGCAAGUAUCGUCCACCAAAUGCAUCAACUGAUGGUGAAAAGCCAUUAUAUCUUCAUAUUUCUGCAGGGGCUAAUUUAAAAGAGACAGCAGAACGGAUUUUAGCAGUUGACCGUGCAGCUGCCAUGGUUGAAGAAAUGCUGAAACAGGGUCAGAAUCCGACUAUGAGCAACGGAUUGACGGCACCGAACACUUGUGUGUAUUUGGGCUUUGACGCAGAUCCGUCAUGGAACAUUGCUGCUCGUAUACGUGGGCCAAAUGACCAGUAUAUAAAUCACAUUAUGAAUGAAACAGGAGCAACUGUGUCACUCAGAGGGCGUGGUUCAGGAAAUCUUGAGAGUGUAAAUGGCGAAGAAGGACAGCUACCAUUGCAUUUAUUCUUGUCAAGUAAUAAUUCAAAAAGUCUUGAAGAUGCUAAACUUUUGGCUGAAAAUCUUUUGGAUACAAUCAGUGUAGAGUGUGGUGUCUCCAGGGUUUCAUCAUCUAAGGUUUGUAGUGCUGUUCCACCCCCACAGCAGGUAUAUAGUGCUGUUCCACCACCGCAUCAGUUGUUGGCUGGAGUUCAGAGUUCUGGAACUGAGGUAAAAACAAUUACAAGUUUGUCGUCUCCAACUGUGGGUGCUACACCAGCUCCGGCAGUUUCCUCUGUUGGAACCCCUGUGGUCGCUACUGUCUUUUCUCAAGGGGCAAUAUCUCAACCUGGAGGGUUGUUAAACUCUGUGCAAUCUCAGGCAAACAUUGGUGGUUAUCCCCAACCUCUACCUCUAUUAUCUAAUGGAACAAGCUACAAUGGAUACGGUGGGAUAUAUCCUCAAGUCACACCUUUGCAACAAGUUGCUCUUGCCCUUAGACAGUCAUCCCCUAUCCCUUCUACAGUUGCUCCCACAACAUCAGCGCCAAGCACUGAACCAAAGUUGAAUGUUAACUCCACUUCUGGUUCUGAAAAGGAGAAACGACCUCCACAGUCACAGAGGCGGAAGUUUCAGGAGUUACCAGUUGGUCCUUCAAAAGUCCAUCAGGUAUUUUCUCUGACCUUCUAUGAGGCUAACAUGCCAAUACUGGACCUCUCUAUUGGGCCACUGGUUUGUAUUUUUCACAGGGUUUUCAAUCUUGGAGGCGCCAUUGCGGUUCACUUGUGGCUUUGGAGCUAUAUUCCACAUACAACCUAGAUUUCAUGCAGUUUAGUUUAAUGUUAUAUACUUAGGUCAAGUUAUGAUAAUAUAUUUUGUUUUCUGUUGGUUAUCAGUUUGUGAUAAAUCAUUCCAGUGUUGGAGUUCUUCAUUUCUUAGUGUUUCCUUCUUGGGCUGUCACCAGCAGCAUGCACAGCCAAAACUCCCAGAGAAGAGGUACCAUCACGACCAAUGCCAACUUCAUGUGCAUCUCAUGAACACUCCACUGUUUUAACGAGUCAAGAGUUAUGCAAAAUCUCAGCUACUCAUACUUUAUGGCAGUUGUAUCGACAUAAAACUAGCUUUGGUAUUGAUGGUUGAACCUCUUGCUUGUGAGAAAAUUGGAUGUGCAUGCUGGUGGGUCCUUCUAGUGGAAUUUGAUCUAUGAUUGCUCCUGCUGUAAGCAAAAGUUUAUGUGUACUAGUCAUUAUAUGAGGCAGCUCACACUUCCUUCUAUUUGUUGUAUACCUUUAUGAACUUGGCCAUAUCCUUGAAAGACAUUCUAGAUGCUAGACUUGCUUGAUGAUAUGAAAUCCAUUGUCUCUACUAACUUAAGUAUGUCCUUUAUAGAGUGUCGUACCUUUGUGCCUAUAUGAUUUUGGUUGUUUAGAUAAAUUAAUUUUUGCUGUUGCAGAUAUCAGUAUUUAAUCUUUAGGUUAUUAUUAAUCAACUUUAUUACAUAACACCUCCAUUUUAUGGUUAUUGAACUGUUAGUUUUUCCCUUUGGUUUCUUUUCUCCCUAACUGGAUGCAGGAACUGGAAAUGUCAAAGCCAAAUGAACUGUUGGCAGAUUUGGGUGUGAGAAAUGUAUCAACUAUGCCAGCUCCAAAGAAAUUGGUCCAGCCAGCAUCAAAUGGAAUGCCACCACCCCUACCUAGAACAAUGCCGCCACCUCCACCAAAAUUCACCUCAUCAGCACACGUUCUGACCAAAACAAAAUCUGAUGAUGUCCCUGAUACUUUGGUCAAGCUGAUGGAAUAUGGUGAGGAUGAUGAUGACUCUGAGGAAACUAACAAAGAAUUACCCACAAGCAAUUCUGGUGCAGUGACAGCUCGAAAGCCUUUCUGGGCAUUAUGAGUUUUCAGUUAGCAUAAGCUGGUCAAUUGUUUGCGACAAACUAAUGGCUCCUGAUCGGAAUUUCUCUAAAUACAUGCAAAUGAAUGGAUUCAUCCAGCUCCAUGUGGUGGGAUAUUGGUGUCAUGAGAAAGCUAAAGGCAGUGCAGUGGAUUUUUGCUGUUUUACGUUUUCGGAAAUUCAAGAUCUGUUUCUCUUGGCCGUCAUUGGGCUCUUUCCUAGAGAAUGAAGGGAAGAGCUAUGUUGUAUCAAGUACAGGUGUAGAUUCGUAGUAGUUUUUCUGUGUUUUGGUUUAAGAUUGUCAGCAUGCGAGUAUAUUCACUGCCAAAGGUUAUAUGGGAAUCAGUAAGAUCCGAAGUUGUGUAUUAUGUAUCCACAAGGCGUUCGUGAUGAAUUUUCUUUGCAUUUGUAUUUCCCAUUAACUUAAUCCAUUUCUGUGAAUUUCUAUCCAGUUGAAGACU